rnacentral:lncRNA from 1 species
AGGGAGUAUGUGAGUAUAGUAUUAAAUGAAAAAGGACAAGAAACUUAGACACAAAAGUAAUAACUAAAGAAGUACACUCUCAAUCAAAACUUCAAAUAGAAAUUGAAGUGAGGCUGGCACGCAACAAAUAGGAUACAUGUCCCUUUUUAUGACCUACUACGAUUCGAAGGAAAAAGUUCAGUGCAAAAGGGAGGUCUAUCUUCAUGGGGUCAUGAGACUGUUGACUCAAUAUUUUACCUUUUCAAAUAGUUUACACAUCGUUCUCAACUUUAUCAAGAAUUAACUACAGAUUUAACCUACGUGCUGCUUCACCUCACAAACAACAUUUGUCCUAGUCAAUGGUAGGCUGCAGGCCACGAUGGUGGCUAUUGGGAUCCCUAUGUUUUAAAUUACUUUGAAAAAAACUUUGAAGCAAAUUAUUAGCAUCUCAAUCCAACUCUGACCAUCCUUUGACUUAUUUUAUGUUUCUG